UUUGUUUUUUGCUAUUCAAAAUCAUUAAGGGUAAUUUGGUCUUAACAAUUUCAUAAAAUUUUAUGAUCCGAUUCAAUCUAAACCGUUCAAUAAAAUUAAUUCCCUUCAAUCUAAACCGUUCAACAAAAAUAAGGAAUCUAUGUCGUUUUUGAAAUCAAAAUAUGAUCACAUUUCAUCCCUAAAAACACUAUAUUCAAUCACGAAAUCAAUAAUCAAUAAUAUCCAAAUCAUAUAUUAU
rnacentral:sRNA from 1 species